UACGUAGGCAGCAAGCGUUGUUCGGAGUUACUGGGCGUAAAGGGCGCGUAGGCGGCUCGGCACGUCCGUUGUGAAAUCGCCCGGCUCAACUGGGCGGGGUCGGCGGAUACGGCCGAGCUGGAGCAAGCUAGGGGGUAAUGGAAUUCCCGGUGUAGUGGUGGAAUGCGUAGAUAUCGGGAGGAACACCAGUGGCGAAGGCGGUUACCUGGAGCUUUGCUGACGCUGAUGCGCGAAAGCGUGGGGAGCGAGUCCGG
rnacentral:rRNA from 1 species